CGAAAGCCUGACGGAGCGAUGCCGCGUGCGGGAUGAAGGCCUUCGGGUUGUAAACCGCUGUCGGAGGGGAGCAAAUUUGAGCGAUCCUCGGAGGAAGCACAGGCUAAAUUCGUGCCAGCAGCCGCGGUAAUACGAAUUGUGCAAACGUUAUUCGGAAUCACUGGGCUUAAAGGGUGCGUAGGCUGCUAUGAAGUUCUGGUGUGAAAUCCAACGGCUCAACCGUUGAAUUGCAUUGGAAACCACAUGGCUGGAGUAGGACAGAGGUGAGCGGAACAGAUGGUGGAGCGGUGAAAUGCGUUGAUAUCAUCUGGAACACCGGUGGCGAAAGCGGCUCACUGGGUCCUAACUGACGCUGAGGCCCGAAAGCCAGGGGAGCA
rnacentral:rRNA from 1 species